GACGAACGCUGGCGGCGUGCUUAACACAUGCAAGUCGAACGAAGAGCGAUGGAAGCUUGCUUCUAUCAAUCUUAGUGGCGAACGGGUGAGUAACGCGUAAUCAACCUGCCCUUCAGAGGGGGACAACAGUUGGAAACGACUGCUAAUACCGCAUACGAUCUACUCUCGGCAUCGAGGAAAGAUGAAAGGUGGCCUCUAUUUAUAAGCUAUCACUGAAGGAGGUGAUUGCGUCUGAUUAGCUAGUGGGAGGGGUAACGUCCCCCCAAGGCGAUGAUCAGUAGCCGGUCUGAGAGGAUGAACGGCCACAUUGGGACUGAGACACGGCCCAGACGCCUACGGGAGGCAGCAGUGGGGAAUCGUCCGCAAUAGACGAAAGUCUGACGGAGCAACGCCGCGUGAGUGAUGACGGCCUUCGGGUUGUAAAGCUCUGUUAAUCGGGACGAAAGGCCUUCUUGCGAACAGUUAGAAGGAUUGACGGUACCGGAAUAGAAAGCCACGGCUAACUACGUG
rnacentral:rRNA from 1 species